UUUAUAAUGAGAAACGACGUUCACUGUCGCCGCCCUUCCCACAACGCCUACUAACAUCUAUGCAUCGGUGGUCAGUGUUAGUGAGGUGUGUGAAAAGAGCGGCGAUCGGAACAAUUCUAAAUAAAUAUUUGAAAAUUUAAAUUACC
ensembl:ncRNA F44E7.15 ncRNA